CAUCAUGAUGACUUGCAAGCAACUCAUUAUGCUUUGGAGCCAGACUACCUAAAUUUUUAAUUCAGUAAUGAAAGGUUUCUGGGCACAGCCAAGUAUUUAUGAAAUCGGUGUGUGAGUCAAGAUAGAACUUACCUCUCUAAAGAAGUAGAAGUUAAUGUAUCAGUGUAUUUUAAUUCAGUAAAACCUCGAUCGAGAUAAUCUAUGAGAUAGAUUUAAAAAAUUGAAACAC
rnacentral:lncRNA from 1 species